UACGGAGGGAGCUAGCGUUGUUCGGAAUUACUGGGCGUAAAGCGCACGUAGGCGGCUUUGUAAGUUAGAGGUGAAAGCCCGGGGCUCAACUCCGGAACUGCCUUUAAGACUGCAUCGCUUGAAUCCAGGAGAGGUGAGUGGAAUUCCGAGUGUAGAGGUGAAAUUCGUAGAUAUUCGGAAGAACACCAGUGGCGAAGGCGGCUCACUGGACUGGUAUUGACGCUGAGGUGGCGAAAAGCGUGGGGGAGCAAACAGG
rnacentral:rRNA from 1 species